rnacentral:other from 1 species
GCAGCCCUGCUGUGUACGUGAUGCGUCAUCUGGCGUUUGAGCCAACACUUGUACGUUGGGAGACGAUUCUGCUGAGAGCGCGCCCGCUCCUUCGGAGACCGGACCACUCGACGAGUAGUCACCCACCUGGGAAACCGGGUUCACAACUCUGGUCGCACACGGCAUGGUGGGGAUUGC